UGGGUAAAUUGUUUUCUUAAUUUUCAAGG
rnacentral:piRNA from 1 species